AGUGAACGCUGGCGGUAGGCCUAACACAUGCAAGUCGAACGGCAGCACAGUAAGAGCUUGCUCUUACGGGUGGCGAGUGGCGGACGGGUGAGGAAUACAUCGGAAUCUACUUUUUCGUGGGGGAUAACGUAGGGAAACUUACGCUAAUACCGCAUACGACCUACGGGUGAAAGCAGGGGAUCUUCGGACCUUGCGCGAUUGAAUGAGCCGAUGUCGGAUUAGCUAGUUGGCGGGGUAAAGGCCCACCAAGGCGACGAUCCGUAGCUGGUCUGAGAGGAUGAUCAGCCACACUGGAACUGAGGCACGGUCCAGACUCCUACGGGAGGCAGCAGUGGGGAAUAUUGGACAAUGGGCGCAAGCCUGAUCCAGCCAUACCGCGUGGGUGAAGAAGGCCUUCGGGUUGUAAAGCCCUUUUGUUGGGGAAGAAAAGCAGCAGGUUAAUACCCCGCUGUUCUGACGGUACCCAAAGAAUAAGCACCGGCUAACUUCGUG
rnacentral:rRNA from 1 species